GCAAGUCGAAUGGUAGUAGCAAUACAAACCGAUGGCGAACGGGUGAGUAACACGUAGGGUAACCUGUCUUUAAGACGAGGAUAACCAUUGGAAACGAUGGAUAAUACUGGAUAGGACAUCGACAAAGGGCAUCCUUAGAUGUUUAAAGAUUAUUAUGUCACUUAGAGAGGGGCCUGCGGCGCAUUAGCUAGUUGGUGAGGUAAAAGCCCACCAAGGCGAUGAUGCGUAGCCGGACUGAGAGGUUGAACGGCCACAAUGGAACUGAGAACGGUCCAUACUCCUACGGGAGGCAGCAGUAGGGAAUUUUCGGCAAUGGGCGCAAGCCUGAACCCGAGCAACGCCGCGUGAACGAAGAAGUUAUUCGUAAUGUAAAGUUCUUUUAUCUGGGAAGAAAAACAAAUUGACGGUACCAGAUGAAUAAGCUCCGGCUAACUACGUGCCAGCCGCAGC
rnacentral:rRNA from 1 species